rnacentral:rRNA from 1 species
UACGUAGGGUGCAAGCGUUGUCCGGAAUUAUUGGGCGUAAAGAGCUCGUAGGCGGUUUGUCGCGUCUGCUGUGAAAACGCGAGGCUCAACCUCGCGCCUGCAGUGGGUACGGGCAGACUAGAGUGCGGUAGGGGAGAUUGGAAUUCCUGGUGUAGCGGUGGAAUGCGCAGAUAUCAGGAGGAACACCGGUGGCGAAGGCGGGUCUCUGGGCAGUAACUGACGCUGAGGAGCGAAAGCGUGGGGAGCGAGCAGG